GGCGGGGCCGGCGGCAUCGGGGCGCGGAGCGGCCCUGCCCGAGGAGGCGGCGGGGAGGCGAGCCUGCUGUUCACAUCGCGUUCUGUCAGAUGUACUUUGGCACACAAUGAAACGUAGGCAACCUCAGCCUUUAACUUUGAGCUGGAGGAGGUCGAGCUGUUUAUCUUCGGUUAAAGAAAGCAAAACUGCAUGGGAACUUUGUGCUGUAGCAGAGCGUUAGUGUCCAGGCCAGACAACAAAUUAAGAUUCAAGCACCCUUUAAGGACCAAUGUACCCAAAUAGCUCAUGGAAGAAAAAAAUCAAACCAGAACAUCCUUGGUUUCCAGGCUACCGAAAUAUGGAACGAAAACUUUAGGGAGUGUCUUGCAACCUGUGCCCAACGGGACAGCCGUUAACUUAGCAGGGAGUCAUGGGGGCAAAAAUUUCGGCAAGCACAAUGGCACUGGCCGCGUGUCUUCCUUCUCUUUCAACUGGAAAAAAUCUAACAGAUAUCAGCUCAACGAUCAAAAUGGCAGAGAGGCCAACUCUAAACGCAACUGCAACGAAAAAUUAAUCGAUUCUGAGAAGUAUCCUCAAUCUCAAGGAGCAUUGGGCAACGAUGAGCUCAGGGUGGCUUUGAACAGUCCUGCUUCGGUUGUGUCAAAAGCAGCAAAGCAAACCAAUAUGUUUGUAUCUUCUACCGAGGAAUUAACCCCAAAGUCUUUACCUGGACUCUCUAGUUCAGCUAAAUUCACCAAAGGUACCCUGCCAGGAAGGACCUCAUAUUCUGGACUCAAUGCUACAAGAUCAAAUUUAAAUGGAUUUUAUGGAAAUAGGCCAGUGGUAGGUUUGCAGAGACCUAGAGCUAAUUCCAGUGCCACAAGGACAAGUUCAGGAGAAAGCCUAGCACAAUCUACAGACAAUAGCAAGGCUUUUUCCUGUGAAAAAAUGGUAAGAUCACAAAGUUUUUCACAUUCCAUUCAGAAUUCUUUCCUUCCCACUGCAUCUCUAACCAGGUCACAUUCCUUUAAUAAAGCUGUGGAUCUUACAAGGCCUUAUCAUAGUCAAAAUCUGGCUGCCAGGACGUCUCAGAGGUCUACUUUGCUGUUGAGAAAUGCGUGUCAGUUGGAUGUACCCAAUGGAAAUGAACCGAUGAAGUAUGGGUUUGCCAGACCGUACUCUGGUGUGUCAGCUCCUUGUUCCAAGAAACCCCCACUGUCAAAUGGAUCUGGGUCAGCACCUUCCUUUGGAUACAGAUUAAGUCGUCCUUCUCUUCUCAAGCCUACCAGGCAGCGGUUUGCUGGGAAUACUGCUGUGGAUGGCAGCAAAAGUACCUCUCCUGACACACAUACUGUGGAGAGCUCUGAAAUUUCAACAAAUGUUAACAGAGCAGUUGAGAAAAACAGUAUUAUAGAGAGCAGUGCUCAAAGAACAGGAUCUGAUGAGGGCCUGCAUGAAAGUCUGGGAAAACAUGGGUCGAAAGUCAUGUGUAUGAGCGAUGAUGGAGAUGAAAUAUCUAUAUCUUCUUUGUCAUCCUCUGAAAAGAAUGAUUUGAGUGAAGAUUUCAGUGAUGACUUCAUAGAUAUAGAAGAUGCAAACAGAACUAUACAAAUACAGCAGAAGGAGAGCUGCCUUCAGGAAUUAGAGCACGGGAGCAUCACGUCCAUUGAGCCGUUCACGUCUCUCAAGGAAAGUGGAGGAUCUCGCUGUAAUGCUGAUGAGUGGCUUGAUAUAAAUGUGUCUGCAGUGGAUGACAACAGCGAAAGCACAAAACAUACAACUGAGAAUGUCAUUUCUUCAGAGAUGAACUAUAGAGCUGGCUCCUCUUUUGAGCUUUCUCCAUCUGACAGCUCUGAUGGCACAUAUAUGUGGGAUGAAGAAGGGUUGGAACCUAUAGGAAGCGUCCAUCCGUGUGGAAGUUACGACUCUUCAGAGAUGAACAGCAUAGAUAUCUUGAAUAAUCUUGAUUCAUGUGAUCUUGAAGAUGAUGAUCUUAUGCUUGAUGUGGACCUGCCUGAGGACCCACCUCGUGACAAAGAGGAAUGUGAAAAUAUGAGCCGUUAUGAUAGACAAGACAGAAAUGCUAGACAACAUCAGGAAGGAUUCUGGAAAAGAGCACCACAACAGCGAUGGAAUGCACAGGAUCACUAUCAUCUUGGCCAUACUGAUCAUUAUAUCCAUGGUAAAAAUGAUUUGAACAGGGGAUCAAACUACCGGGAAUCUCCUGUUGGUCACUUGGAAAGCUACGGAGCCCCCAAUUUGUACCAGGCUCCCCGCCAGCUGGUGGGUUUACCGGAGAAUACUGUGAUGCUGGAUGAGAUGACCCUGCGGCACAUGGUCCAGGACUGCACAGCUGUCAAAACUCAGCUCUUGAAGCUCAAGAGGUUACUGCACCAGAAUGAUGAAAAUGUGUCGCUCCAGGACAUCAACCUCUCAGUUCCAUCGAGUCCAGAACCACAAGAACCUGAUUCCACUUUUAAGAUGGAUGAUCUGCUGAAUGAGAUCAGGCAGCUCAAAGAUGAACUGAAGAAAAAGGAUGAAACAAUCAGCCAAUUAGAGCAUCAGCUUGCCACUAGAUGUAACUGCCAGAAGGACAGUCAAAAACCCGCAGGGGCAUCGCACAUGCACGCCGAUAAAUUCACGCAAACGUCGUGGAGGAGGAGUUCUCCUCAAGUACUACAGCCUUCCAGCAGCCUUCCCAGUUCCACAGACCUCGCCCAGGGAAAACUAGUAAAAAUGCCACAUAUCGAGGCCCACAGUGAAUAUCCUAAACAUGAUCUGCAUGAAAGUAGCAAUCAUCAGAAUCCAAAUGCUGCAAAUGUCUCUCUCACAAAUAGCCUGAAUGAUGUAAACUCUUUAACGAGCCUACAGUUAAACAUAAAAGAUGAAAAUGCAUCAUAUUUGGACAAUUUGAAAAACAAAAACACUGAAAACCCUGGAGAGGUGGUGAGUAAUAAAGAAGGUACAUUGCUAUCUCGUUCCUGUUUUCAGACCUCUACACGAGCUGAUGCCGGAGAGGUGCAGACUGAACUACCUGUGAAAGGUCAGCCCUCGUUCACAAACCAGGCUUCUCGGCCAAAGACUUUAAGAAUCGCAAAGCCCCCAAAUGCUUUAGUGCCUCCUACAAUGGCCGUUCUCAUACGAUCUGCAAAUCAUUCCGCUGCUUCCAAGGAACGUGAGCUUCUACCACGAAGUAGUUCAACUCAGCUACAGCCAACAUCUGGUCAGGAUAACCUAAAGGGUAAACAGAGUCAGAAAGUGUCUAAACUUCGCCCACCAACUAUGUCCUUUGUUAGAGCUAAGCAAGUGAGCAGUCAGAAAUCCACACCAGUAUCUCCAGAGCCUCAGAACACCUCUUUGAAGUCUAACAUCCCAAAGCCACUGGUACAGAGAAAGGAAAACGUGCAAACACACCCCACCAGUUUGCAUUCUGGGGACAGCGUGCCCUCCAACCGGCAUUCCCGCCUCCCUAAACCAAAGACACAUUGAGGAUGUACCUACAUCUCACCCAACGAUGCCACACAACAAACCACUUCCUGUGUCGUGACUGCCUUCGAGCCUGCCGGACCCACAGCCUGCAAAUCCUGAAUCCAUGUUCAAAACAGCAGCUUCUUUUUAGGGUUUGCACACUCCACCCUGCGAUGUUCUGAGGCUGAUGUUGUGAGCUGUGCAGUUUCUCUCGAGAGUGUUCUAUCUUAUCAUUAGUGAGAUGAUGAGCUGGAGACAGCAGGAUUUGCUCAUGGAUGAGACAGAUGCUAGCCUGAAUUGUAUUUGUGUUCAGCUGCUAACCUCGCAUCCCUCUAAAGACAACUCCAUGUUUUGGCUCUUCAGACUUUCCCAGGGAAGGCUCUGUUGCAUGUAUAGUAAGUCCGGAGUAUGAGCAAAGCCUGUCGGGAGAUGGGUAGCUGAAAGAGUAGUGGCGAAGUGAAGUUUGGAGCUUCACUUGGGUGCAGGACAGGGUUUGGGGGGCAAUGGGUGAGAGGGUGCUGAGUAGAGCUUGUCAGACGGGAUUAAGCAUUUUCAGGUACCGUAUCUACCUUAUGGAAGGUGCAGAUAUAUCAUCAGUACUGGUGCAGUUAUCCAAAAGGCAUAAAUUUAAGUGUUCGAUAUCUUCAGGGGUUUUUUUUAGGUUUAUGAAACUGAUGUAUUGCCAUUUUUCUUUGUUUUUGAUUUCUCAUUCUUUUGUGCAAUAUUCACAAAAGUAUUAAACUACUGUUCAGUAUGUGUAUACAGAGGCAAUUACGCAUUUUAACAAGUGAAUAAACACAAAAGAAAAGAACAGAAUUGCACUUUAAAUGAGCUUUAUUGCUUGGAGUUGUGCCUAAAAUAAUCUAGAUGCCUCCUGCUGUGUGUGGCUUUUGUUUGAAACCAAUUUCCCCGGUAGUGUUGCUGUUUCCAAGGUAUUUUCACAUCACUUUCACAGAAUCGAUACACGUUCUAGCAUGUUAAAAAAUAUUCAUAUAGUGUACUGAGUUUUUGUUGUGCAAUGACUUUAAUUUAAGUGUGGAAUUUUAACACUGAAGAUGCAGCCAGAUUAUUAUUAUUACCUUCCCCUUCCCUGAAGCCAGCACUUCCUGCUGCCAAUCAAAGCCCAUGGCUAAAAUUCCCUAGGACUAGCAUAGCUCUGAAAGAACAAUGGCCCCAGCACGUUUUUGUUUGAGAAAAGAAGUGCAAUAUUAUCUCAGACUUUCUCCAAAUAAUCACAAAGGCCCUGAAAAUCCAAAACAACACUGAAUUUCGAUACAGUUCCAAAAAAAGCAGGUUCCUCAACUUUACGUCUUGUAGCAGUGAGACUGGACAUAGCAAGUAGACUGCAUCAUUGAUCAGUAAACUUCAUUUCAUCCUUUAUCUAAAUGCCAAUUUGUUGUAAUGAUGCUGGAAAGCUGAGUACCAUUUGCGUGAUUUCCUUUGUCUGCAUGUCACAACCAUAUGCACAUUCUAAAGUGUCAUACUUGGGUAGGUUGCAUGUUGGGGGGGAAGUGUUUUCUGGUUUUGCACAGCACAUAAUCCUCUUAAUAUGGACGUUUUCUUGCUGUACAAAUGGAAAUCAGUUCUUGAAUUGGGCUUCCGUAGCUAUUUCUUAUCUCGUUACAGAGGCUUUUUCUGAGCAGAGUGGAUUUAAUACAUGAUCCUGGGGGUAGGUCUCAGUAUAGUCAUCUUACAACAAUGCUAUCAAGGAAAAUCAGUCACUGUUGUGGUAAAGCUGCUCACUGCCUACUUAAUUGUAAAAGCACCACUGUAAAACGAAUAUAAUUCCAGUGUAACCAAAUCUUAAACUCAAUAAUAGCUAAAACAAGAGGUACUCUUACUAUCUGCUUUGUUUUUGGUUUUUUAACCCAGGCCAGAGUAAAUACUGUAUAUUGGAAUUUGCUUGUAAAGUUGAUUCAAAAACCUGUAUGUAAAAAUUCUUUCCUCAAUGUUGCUCUAGUGAAUAAAAAUAAAAGUCAUAAUUCUAAUAAGUA